rnacentral:rRNA from 1 species
GUUUGAUCCUGGCUCAGAGCGAACGUUAGCGGCGGGCUUAACACAUGCAAGUCGAGCGAGAAAGGGGCUUCGGCCCUGAGUACAGCGGCGGACGGGUGAAUAACACGUAGGUAACCUUCCUUUCAGCGGGGGACAACGGUCCGAAAGGACCGCUAAUACCGCAUACGUUCCCUGGGACCUCGGUCCUGGGGAGGAAAGGCCCGCAAGGGCCACUGGAUGAGGGGCCUGCGUAGCAUCAGCUAGUUGGUGGGGUAAUGGCCUACCAAGGCGAAGACGCUUAGCUGGUCUGAGAGGAUGAUCAGCCACACUGGGACUGAGACACGGCCCAGACUCCUACGGGAGGCAGCAGUGGGGAAUAUUGGACAAUGGGCGCAAGCCUGAUCCAGCCACGCCGCGUGAGUGAUGAAGGCCUCGGUCGUAAGAC